GGCUCCCGCGCGCCACCCCGAGGGGACGGGCGCCACCUCCUGCUACGCGGCACCCGGUCCCGUCAACCGCCCAACGGCUGAGGAGUGCGGCAGCGCGCCAGAGACUGGCGGGCAGCUCCGCCCGCGGCCGGGAUGCACUAGGCAAAGCCAGCUGGGCUCCUGAGUCCGGUGGGUACUUGGAGAACUUACUACGUCUAGCUGGAGGAUUGUAAAUGCACCAAUCAGCAUGCUGUGUCUAGCUCAAGAACUCAAGCUCCAUGAGGAGAUGUUUCAUUGUCGAGAGCAGUCAUGAUGGCCUGCACUCCACACAAUGCAACAGAGUGAAAGAGCAGGUUCUGCUUCUUUGGUGUAGUCCUGAAGCUUCCUAAGAAACUUCACAUCAGGUGAUGGAUAGGAGCAACCCUGUAAAACCAGCCUUAGACUAUUUUUCAAACAGGCUGGUGAAUUACCAGAUCUCCGUCAAGUGCAGUAACCAGUUCAAGUUGGAAGUGUGUCUUUUGAAUGCAGAAAACAAAGUCGUGGACAACCAGGCUGGGACCCAGGGCCAGCUGAAGGUGCUGGGUGCCAACCUCUGGUGGCCGUACCUGAUGCACGAACACCCCGCCUACCUGUACUCGUGGGAGGAUGGUGAUUGCUCACACCAAAGCCUUGGACCCCUCCCAGCCUGUGACCUUUGUGACCAACUCCACCUACGCAGCAGACAAGGGGGCUCUGUAUGUGGAUGUGAUCCGUGUGAACAGCUACUACUCUUGGUAUCGCAACUACGGGCACCUGGAGUUGAUUCAGCUGCAGCUGGCCGCCCAGUUUGAGAAUUGGUGUAAGACAUCACAAUCCCAUUAUUCAGAGCGCGUAUGGAGUGGAAACGCUUGUAGGGUUUCACCAGG